UGAAUACGAAACACUAAGGUGUUGAAGUAGUGUAUGUCAUACUUCCAAGAAAAGCUCGUAAUGUAGUUAAGUAAAAAUGCCUGUACCAUAACCGACACAGGUGGGUGGGUAGAGUAUGCUAAGGGGCGCGAGAUAACUCUCUCUAAGGAACUCGGCAAAAUGACUCCGUAACUUCGGGAGAAGGAGUGCCUUAUUCUAUAAGGUUGCAAUAACAAGAUCCAAGCAACUGUUUAUCAAAAACACAGGUCUCCGCUAAGUCGUAAGACGAUGUAUGGGGGCUGACGCCUGCCCAGUGCCAGAAGGUUAAAGAAGUCGGUUAGCAAUAGCGAAGCUGGUAACUGAAGCCCUGGUGAACGGCUGCCGUAACUAUAACGGUCCUAAGGUAGCGAAAUUCCUUGUCGGGUAAGUUCCGACCCGCACGAAAGGCGUAACGAUUUGGAUACUGUCUCGGAGAGGGACUCGGUGAAAUAGACUUGUCUGUGAAGAUGCGGACUACCUGCACCAGGACAGAAAGACCCUAUGAAGCUUUACUGUAACUUGAAAUUGAAAUUGGACUUUAUUCGCGCAGUAUAGGUGGGAGGCGUUGAUUAUAAUCUUGUGGGAUUAUUGGAGCCAUCAGUGAGAUACCACUCUUGUAAUGUUAGAUUUCUAACUUUGAAUCAUGAUCUGGUCAAAGAACAGUUUCAGGCGGGCAGUUUGACUGGGGCGGUCGCCUCCUAAACGGUAACGGAGGCGUACAAAGGUUUCCUCUGAACGGGUAGAAAUCGUAUCUAGAGUGUAAAGGCAUAAGGAAGCUUGACUGUGAGACCUACAAGUCGAGCAGGGACGAAAGUCGGUCUUAGUGAUCUGACGGUACUGAGUGGAAAGGCCGUCACUCAACGGAUAAAAGUUACUCUAGGAUAACAGGCUGAUCUCCCCCAAGAGUUCACAUCGACGGGGAGGUUUGGCACCUCGAUGUCGGCUCAUCGCAUCCUGGGGCGGUAGUACGUCCCAAGGGUUGGGCUGUUCACCCAUGAAAGCGGUACGCGAGCUGGGUUCAGAACGUCGUGAGACAGUUCGGUCCAUAUCCGGUGUAGGCGUUAGAAUAUUGAGAGGAGCCUUCUUUAGUACGAGAGGACCGAGAAGGACAUACCUCUGGUGUACCAGUUAUCGUGCCAACGGUAAACGCUGGGUAGCUAUGUAUGGAGUGGAUAACCGCUGAAAGCAUCUAAGUGGGAAGCCCACCUCAAGAUAAGUAUUCUCAUC
rnacentral:rRNA from 1 species